ACGGGGUGCAGCAGGCGCGAAACCUCCGCAAUGCGAGAAAUCGCGACGGGGGGACCCCAAGUGCCACUCUUAACGGGGUGGCUUUUCUUAAGUGUAAAAAGCUUUUGGAAUAAGGGCUGGGCAAGACCGGUGCCAGCCGCCGCGGUAACACCGGCAGCUCUAGUGGUAGCAGUUUUUAUUGGGCCUAAAGCGUCCGUAGCCGGUUUAAUAAGUCUCUGGUGAAAUCCUGUAGCUUAACUGUGGGAAUUGCUGGAGAUACUAUUAGACUUGAGACCGGGAGAGGUUAGAGGUACUCCCAGGGUAGAGGUGAAAUUCUGUAAUCCUGGGAGGACCGCCUGUUGCGAAGGCGUCUAACUGGAACGGUUCUGACGGUGAGGGACGAAAGUUAGGGGCGCGAACCGGAUUAGAUACCCGGGUAGUCCUAACUGUAAACGAUGCGGACUUGGUGUUGGGGUGGCUUUGAGCUGUUCCAGUGCCGAAGGGAAGCUGUUAAGUCCGCCGCCUGGGAAGUACGGUCGCAAGACUUGAAAACUUAAAGGAAUUGGCGGGGGAGCAC
rnacentral:rRNA from 1 species